UGUGCUCAGGCUGCUGUGUCGAGACUCAGGUGGAGAAACUGAGUCCAUGUUACUCAACGAGACGGUCCCGCAGUGGGUCAUCGACAUCACCGUGGACAAAAACAUGCCCAAAUUCAACAAAAUCCCGUUCUACCUCCAGCCCCAUUCGUCCUCCGGAGCAAAAACAUUAAAGAAGUAUGUGUGACCUGUGAUGUUUCCGUGUGAAGCUUCUUAGACAGAGACUGUAGGAUGCAACAGUUGGAUCUUGGUGUAAAAAUCCCUUGAUUUUCUCUAUAGAGA